UUAAAUGAAGGCUUUAAUAUUUUCAAAUUAGUAGUUCAUUAGUAGUUUUCAAUCUGUAGUUACUGUUAAAUGUUUUGUCUUAUGUAUUGCAAUAAUGAAUUUAAUUAUUUUCUUGUUGAUUUCUAUUUUUUCUUCAACAGUAUUUAAUGCCAAGAUUUCAAGAAAACUUCGAAAUUUUGUAUAGAAGAAACUGUGACUUACAUACAUACAUGUAUCUACUCUACAUAAGAAUUAAAUGGAUCACUUUUGCUGUUUAUAAGGUUUGUUUCUCUUUUGCGAUAGACUAUUGCUAAAUUUUAUUAAUCUGUUGUACCGUAACUUAAGGAUAAUGUACUCUCUUAAAUGUUCAAUUUGUUCGCAUUAAAAUAAUUCAUUACAUUCAACAGAUUGCUUAAUACAAAUUAAUUAUUGGGCAAUCGUUUCAUGAUAUAUUUUGAUCUACAAUUCUGAAAUUUUAACUUUUAAGUUUUCUUUAGUUAAUAUUAAAUAAGAGAGAAAAUUAUUGAGAAAGAUUUGAACUUUUGUACACUCAAUAUAUUUACCUGCUCCUAAGAUAUUAACAUAAAACAAAGUAAAAUGUCAGGUUUGGGGCUAGAAUCUGUGAAAUAGAUUACACUUAUAAAUAUAAAUAUUAUAUCACUUUUAUCACAUUCAUUAUAUGAUAAUAUAUAUUUGUUUCACAAUGAUGAUACGUAAAUAAACUAUCAAAUAGUA